rnacentral:lncRNA from 1 species
AGCAAACGUCAGCAGUAGGCUGUGGGCGGGUCUGUGCAGGGCGGCGCUCACCGUCCUUCUCCUCGAUGUCCACGAGCUUGGUGAUGAAGUCCUUCAGCUGCGCCACGCCCUGGCGCACGGUGGGCUGCAGCGGCUCCAUCCAAGCCUCCUUGGCCCUGGAAGCCGGCGUGUCCAUGUUGCCCACGUUCUGGACUGCCUGGAGGUGACAGCAGGAAGGACCAGGUUCUGCUAGGUUUAACUGACGCUGCUGCACUGGAUACCCCACCCCGGUGCCGGGCACAUAGGUGCAGCCUGAGAGUAAGCAGACCUGGGUUGGAAGGUCCCGCGAUUCACCACCGACAGGAUGGGCGGCCUUGGCAACCCCCGACCCCUCGCAGGCCUGUUCCCUUAUCCAUGAGAUGGAACUCGGACAAGGUGGCCACAGGAAGGCUUUGCAAACUGUGAAGUGCAGUGCCUACGUGGGCGUGCCAGUGGCCUCGCCGGAGCCGGUAGGGAACACUCUGCAGUCCAGGCCAGGGCCCCGGUAGGACACCCAGCUGUGCAUCCCGCCCGUGGCCGCAAGGCCCGCACCUUGGCCAACAGGAGCAGGGUGCGGCUGGUGCGGGCGUCCGCGUGGCGCUCCCGCAGGUGGAAGAGCUUGGGCGACAUGAUGGCGGGAGAGAAGAAGCGCAGGCACAGGAAGCUGGUGACGGCGAUGAACGGUACAUUCUGGAGGGGUGCGGAAGAGCGCGGGCUGGAGUCCCCCAGACCAGGGCUCCUGGCAGCCCCCUCCCCUUAGGCUCCGUCCCUGACCCUCGCCGGGACACAGCCUCCCUGGUCCUCCCCAGCGCUCCCUGGUUCCCCACCGCUCUUCGCCCGCCCCUCGCCCCAGCCCAGUCCAACCCGGCCCAGCCUAGCCCAGCGGGUGGAGGGCGCACCUCGUGCUGGGCGCCGGGGAAGCGCUCGCGCACGCGCCGGAAGAGCUGGCGGAAGGUGGCGCGCACCACGGCGGGGCACGCGGGAACCGAGCGGCUGAGCGCGCUCAGCAGGGCCCCCAGGUGGGCGCGCAGCGUCUGCGCGCUCUGCUCCAGCACCUCGGCCUCGGUCUGCGGGCGGUGCAGCCCGGAACACCUGCGUGGAACGGGGCGGGUUGGCAGAGGAGGUCACGGUCAGCGCCAGGGCCACGACAGGAACAGUGGCUCUCACAGCAGCCGGGACACGGACACAGGGGACAAUACACGGGUGGGCAGAAGCACAAACACACAUGCUGACAGGGCCUGAUCCCAACCCGCUGCCGCUGCGCCCCGCACCCCCCCGGAGUUACCCCCGGCCUCACCCUACAUCCUUAACUUCCACUUUGCUGGGGUCCAGCUCCACGUACUUCUCCUCAAACACCUUGUUGAUGAUGGGGCCCAGGACGCCGUGCAGGUACUGCAUCCCGGCCACCUGGGGACCACCGCAGGUCACAUUGAUCCUGUCUCCCCCAGUCCCACUCCAGCUGCCCACCUUCUCCCGGCAGCCGCCCUUGCACCGUUUGCCUGCCGUAUCCGCCCAGGAGGGGGACAGGUACACAAGCAGGGCAAACUGUUUAUUCAUGAAUGAAUGAAUGAGUGAGUGAAUGAAUGACUAGAAUUCUUAGCCCUUGUAAUCCUAGCACUUUGGGAGGCCGAGGCAGGAGGAUCACUUGAGGCCAGGAGUUUGAGACCAGCCUGGGCAACAUAGUGAGACUGUCUCUAACUUAAAUUUUAAUCACACACACAUUCUUUUGGGGGGGGGGGGUGCGGGGCACGGAGUCUAGCACGGGGCCCAGGCUAGAGUGCAGUGGCGUGAGCUCACUACAAUCUCUGGCUUCUGGUUCAAGUGAGUCUCCUGCCUCAGCUACUCAGGAGGCUGAGGCAGGAGAAUUACUUGAACUUGGGAGGCAGAGGUUUCAGUGAGCCGAGUUCGUGGUCACUGCACUCCAGCCUGGCUACAGAGUGAGAUUCCAUCUCAAAAAAAAAAAAAAAAAAAAGAAUGAGUCUGGCCCCUUUUUGUCUUUCUCUCAUCCUCUUUGCCUUUCACCAUGUUAUGAUGCAGCAAGAAGCCCCUCAUCAGAUACUAGUGCCAUGACCUUGGACUUCCCAGCCUCCAGAACUGUGAGAAAAUAAAUUUCUGUUCUAUGUAAAUUA